rnacentral:rRNA from 1 species
GACGAACCGUGCGAACGUUGUUCGGAUUCACUGGGCUUAAAGGGCGCGUAGGCGGGCUGGAUAGUCAGGGGUGAAAUCCUCCGGCUCAACCGGAGAACAGCCUUUGAUACUGCCAGUCUCGAGGGAGGUAGGGGUCUGUGGAACUUCCGGUGGAGCGGUGAAAUGCGUAGAUAUCGGAAGGAACGCCGGUGGCGAAAGCGACGGACUGGACCUCUUCUGACGCUGAGGCGCGAAAGCCAGGGGAGCAAACGGG